CCUACGGGGGGCAGCAGUAGGGAAUAUUGGUCAAUGGCCGGAAGGCUGAACCAGCCAAGCCGCGUGAAGGACGAAGGUGCCAAGCAUUGUAAACUUCUUUUGUCAAGGGACAAAAUCAGGCUCGAGAGCCUGACCGAGGGUACUUGAAGAAAAAGCAUCGGCUAACUCCGUGCCAGCAGCCGCGGUAAUACGGAGGAUGCGAGCGUUAUCCGGAUUUAUUGGGUUUAAAGGGUGCGUAGGCGGGCUGUUAAGUCAGCGGUAAAAUCCCGGGGCUCAACCCCGGCGAGCCGUUGAAACUGGCUGUCUUGAGAUGUCGAGAGGUAUGCGGAAUGCGCAGUGUAGCGGUGAAAUGCUUAGAUAUUGCGCAGAACUCCGAUUGCGAAGGCAGCAUACCGGCGGCGAUCUGACGCUGAGGCACGAAAGCGUGGGUAUCGAACAGGAUUAGAUACCCUUGUAGUC
rnacentral:rRNA from 1 species